rnacentral:rRNA from 1 species
UACGUAGGGUGCAAGCGUUAAUCGGAAUUACUGGGCGUAAAGCGUGCGCAGGCGGUUUUGUAAGUCUGUCGUGAAAGCCCCGGGCUCAACCUGGGAAUUGCGAUGGAGACUGCAAGGCUUGAAUCUGGCAGAGGGGGGUAGAAUUCCACGUGUAGCAGUGAAAUGCGUAGAGAUGUGGAGGAACACCGAUGGCGAAGGCAGCCCCCUGGGUCAAGAUUGACGCUCAUGCCCGAAAGCGUGGGGAGCAAACAGG